ensembl:lncRNA
CUGAUGUGUCACACACAUUUCCAGAGGUCGCUCACUGAAAGUGCUGAAUUAAGAUGGUGAAUUUUGCUGGACAGAGCAGAGCGCUUGUCUAAUGAAACCUCUGAAGUGCCAGGUUUGUUCUGCAGGCCCCGAUGAUGGCCCAGGCAUGAAAGAGCCCAGAGCUCGUCGCUGGGGAAAGGCUGCGUAUGGCGUUGUGAAGGGAGAGGUGGAGGAGGGCUUUGAGCAGCGCUGUGCAGGAAUGAAUGGCUGGUAAGAGAAGAGGCUGCGGCGCUUCAAAGUGCGCUGUGGGUGGGGAGUGCGAUGACAGCCCAAGGGUGGCAGCAGGAGAUGCAGCACAGCCCUCUCCAGCAGCAGGGUGCAUUAAUUGGUCUUGCUAAUUCUGGAAGGAGAAGGUGUGUUUAGCUGCCAAAGUUGGUGGCUCGAUAGCAUGUUCUGAAGCAUGUUCUGAAUGGUUUGGGGCCCUUCCCCUAUUACUCACGUCCUAAGGCAGUGAAGGACUUCCCUUGCUCCGUAGGAAUGGUUCCUGUGCAAGGGCAUGGCCGUCUGCCUGUAACAGAUACUGAAGGGGAUGGUUGUGUGACUGCCGUGAUGGAGUUGGCUUUUGAAUGUCAAUUGCACCCCGUUAACGUGCAGCUCUUUCUGACCCAGGCAGGAGCCGGGCAGCGGUACUGCAGCUCGUCUGGCAGCUUUGCAGCUGAGUUGGGAAGUAGAAGAUGUGGCUGUGAAAGAAGAAGUCAGUUGCUGGGACGUCCCCCUGUUCCUCCCCUAGCUGUCCCCGUGCCUCAGCCUGGAUUCCCCUUGCAUUCCUGUAGGAUUCCCUUCCAUCCUCCUGGUUGUCCCUUGCUUUCCCCAAGGUUGCUCUUUCCUUUCCCAUGACAGCCCACCCAUCAUUCUCUCAAAGCCCCAAUAUCCAGCCCAGUGUUUCCCCAGCAAGACCCCUAGAGACGCCCUGUAGCCCCCCACAGAGCACCAUACACCCUCUAGGACCUCCUCAGACCCGGUACGCCUCCCCCGUAGCUGGCCCAUACGCACACGGAGCCCCACAGUCCCCAGCUUCACCCCAUGUAACCCACUGGCCUCCUUCAAGACCCCCGUGUUUCCUCUAUUUCCUCCUUCAGACCUCCUUUCCCACCUCCAAGACCCCAACCCCGGGAUCUCACCGAUUCCCACAGUCCCUGACAAGACCCCUGUCACCAUCCCAGGAACCCCAUAGCCCACCUGAGGGCCCUCCUCAGCCCCAUCCCCAUCAAGCUCUUGUACAGCUAUAGGGUGCUGGGGCAGGGGUGGCUGCUGCAGGAGAGGAAUGCGGGGCUGGAGCAGGUGUAGGGCACAGCUGUGGGUGAAAGGGAUGUGAGGGGCACUGUGGGUCCAGGAACGUAGGGGUUGUGGGGGCACAUGGGGAGCGGUUUGGGGUGAGAAUGGAGGAUGUGUGGUGGUGUUGGAGUGCACUGGUUGAUUUCUUCCUGGGAGGGGAUUGGGGUUCCCUUUGGCCCAAAGGUGGAGCCCUGAUCCAUAACCCCACGUGAGCCCAGAACCCCAUAUAACUCUGCAUGAGCCCAAGGCUCCACAUGACCCCUAACUGUGUGAGCACCGUAAGCCCAUAUGAGGCUGAGGGCAGUGAUGGGUCUGUUACUGGCUAGGUCAGGAAGUACUCUAGGGUGGCUCUGGGGCCGCUGUAGUAUAGCACUCUACAUCUGCCCCUGACCCUCAUCUUGGGGGGUAAGAUGGGAGUGCAGGGGUUAGUGGAGGGCUAAGGAAGAGAUUCCAUGAGUAUGAACCAUAGCAUCCCCAGAGCCAUCCUAGAGCAGCGCCAUCACUGCCCACGGCCCAUGGCCAGCAGCAGUUCCACCACAAGCUGUGUGUUGGGUCAAGGCAGCUCCUAGGUGUUGCUCUGCUUCAUAGCUGCCCCAAAGUGCCCCUGUCGCCCUCCCAUAGGUGUCCUUUAACUGCCCCACCACCCCGUAAGGCUUCCCCACGUCCUAGCACAUCCCCCCAGGUGCGUGCAGGGUGUGCAAGAAACGCUCUCAUCCCUGAUAUUCCCUCAGGCACAGCUCUUCAUGCAGCAGCAAAGCUCCUUCCUGAUUGCUGUGGUGUUACUUCACUCUCCUCAGUGAGUUCCUUCUGCUCCCGUUGGGUUGGUUGAGUUGGGUUGGUUGGGUUGAGGUGGGGGCAGGGAUCCCAGAGUUCUGGGGCCACAUGGCAUUGGGUCGCAGCGUGUUGGGGGAAGGAAGGGUCAGGGAGUCACAGGGUCUUGUGGGGGUGUGGUUCACCCAGGGCUGUGGGUCACAUAUAGCCAUGGUGUCAUGCACAUACAGGGUGAUGAGAUCAUCUUGGCUUAAGGCUCAUGUGGGGUUACGGCUCAGGGCCCCACCUUUGGGCUGCAUGGACCCCCAGUCCCCUCUCAGGAAGAAAUGAAACCCCUCCUACACCGCUGCCCCCUUCCUCCUUUUUUUUUUUUUUUUUUACCUCAAACUGCUCCCCACAUCCUCCCAUAGCACCCCAUACUCCUGCAUCCCUCUUGCAGCCCACAUCUUGUCUUCUCCUGAACAGCAUUCUGCUCCUGCAGGCUGUGUUGUCAUAUCCAUUCUAUAUCCCCCACAACCUCCCCCACAUAGCUCCUCAAGUACUUUCUCUGACCCGGUACACCUCCCCCUCCUCCAACCUGGGACCUCGCAGAGCCCCACAGUCCCCAGCAUCACCCCACGUCCCCCACGGUUCUUCAAGGAUCCCUCCGAUUUGAGGGAGGCUCAGACCUCCCUUUAUGCCUCAGACCCCUCCUGUGUUCUCCGACUCCCACAGUCCCUGACAGGACCCCCAUCACCAUCCCAGGACCCCCAUAGCCCACUGAUGAGGAACCUUGCAGCAAUCCACAUCUCAGGAUGGGCCUCCAGCUGUGCCCCAAUGCCUUCAUUAAAGACAGGAGAAUGAAUGAGCGUAACGGGGCACCUUUCCUCCUGACAUUGCCCACUGCCUGCGUGUUGGCUGUGCCACGAGUGCGACAUUUUGUCCUCGAGCUGUGAGUGCAGAUGGAGGCCCUGAGAACAACCAGAGCCGUGUCUGCCUUCACCAAGGACUCACCUCUGCACGUGCAGCGGCAGCUCUGAGGGCAGCCUUCAUCGAUUCCCCUCUUCUCUCUUUCUCUUGGCGUCUUCUUGCUAGAAAGCAAGAAUAAACAUGAAUGCGUUUUGUCAGCAGCACAACUGCAGAAACAGGGGUGCCGUACAGGCAGAAGGCAGCAAAAAA